CCCGACUGUUGAUAUCCUCGUACGGCACUCAGCGUCCUGGACAGCCGCAAAACGCACCAAGAGAUUUCCGCUCAGACGGACUAGUAGCUUCACGGAGCAACGUGGCAGCUCAUAGAGGAGGCGAGGAUUGGGAGGUGCGCCUUGAUAUGGACUGGUUCAGCGUCCUUUUGCGCCGCAAGCUCGCGGCACAUGAGCCAUUGCAACAGCACGACUGGCACUGCUUGGUGUCCAACAUUACCGACUACUACAUUUCCCGCUACUCUGGAUCACCACAACCAAGGACGUGGUACACUAAGAUGAGUGAUCUCAUCAUAGAUCAGUACCCGCACAUCUUCGCUGGGAUGUCGGCGUCCUCUGCGGUGGGAUUCAUGAAGGCCAAGCUUCGCCACAAGUUCAAGAACAUCCGCUUCCGUUCGUUUUCCGGGGAACGGGAACGGUCCGAAGCCAGACUGUGGCUGGUGACCCCAGAAUGACCUGUGAGGUUCGGUGCUGGUCUCGAUCCUGCUCAGCAGGAAUGAAGCCGCGUAAGGAGACGACGGUCGGUGGCCAAGAACAAACUGAACAGUGUUAGUUGGCUUGGUGACGGGCCAGCCGGGUUCUUGAGCGGGGAUUUACACCAUCGAUCUCUGGAAUUCUUGGUGAUGUUAUCCAACGUGGUGACUGUUUUUUGAAACGGCCUGAUCGAAGCUCACGACCGUGGUGCAGUGUGUCUCGAGAGUGAUAACCAUGGGCUGUUUGUGGUGCUGUCUCGUCAUGGUCACACCGCAGCUGAACGACAGCUCAAGGACGAUUGCGGACCGAAAAUGCUCGCGAUGUUUGCUCUACAAACGUCGAUUGGUAGAUGAACCACACUGCAUGGUACGCCGAGGGCUACGAAAGUCGCCACAUACGUGGUGCUGAUUUGAAUGACGCUCUUUGCGCUUGUCGUGUUACGUUAACGCGCCGUGGCCACGAAGGAGCCGUCUGUCACGUGGUUUUCGUUCAUUUUGGCCGUUUCUCGUUGCGUCUUUGCGGAUUCUUUGUCAUUGCGUCCUUGACGUGCGCAUGAGUGCGGUUAUCAAGAGCAACAGUUAGCUAACACGUCACAGGCUCUUCGUCGUCAGAGCCUGCCGGAGAUGGAUGUCAAGUGUCAUGUGAAACUGACGUAUGGGUGUCCUCGGUGCCCUUUCCCAUGCAUAUUUAUAAGUUACGUGAUGCACUUGUUUAGUCUGGUCGGUUUAUCCACAGAAUAUGUUGGAGCUCACCGCCAAAUUGUGCGUCGAAUACAA